rnacentral:rRNA from 1 species
AGUGAACGCUGGCGGUAGGCCUAACACAUGCAAGUCGAACGGCCGCACAGUAAGAGCUUGCCCUUACGGGUGGCGAGUGGCGGGCGGGUGAGGCAUACAUCGGAAUCUACUUUUUCGUGGGGGAUAACGUGGGACAACUGACGCUAAUACCGCAUACAACCUACGGGUGAAAUCAAGAGAUCUUCGGACCUUGCGCGAUUGAAUGAGCUGAUGUCGGAUUAGCUAGUUGGCGGGGUAAAGGCUCACCAAGGCGACGAUCCGUAGCUGGUCUGAGAGGAUGAUCAGCCACACUGGAACUGAGACACGGUCCAGACUCCUACGGGAGGCAGCAGUGGGGAAUAUUGGACAAUGGGCGCAAGCCUGAUCGAGCCAUACCGCGUGGGUGAAGAAGGUCUUCGGGUUGUAAAGCCCUGUUGUUGGGAAAGAAAAGAAGUAGGAGAAUAUCCCGAUGUUCUGACGGUACCCAAAGAAUAAGCACCGGCUAACUUCGUG